UACGUAGGGGGCGAGCGUUGUCCGGAUUUAUUGGGCGUAAAGAGCGUGUAGGCGGCUAGGUAGGUCUGCUGUGAAAACUCGAGGCUCAACCUCGAGACGUCGGCGGAAACCAUCUGGCUAGAGUCCGGAAGAGGAGAGUGGAAUUCCUGGUGUAGCGGUGAAAUGCGCAGAUAUCAGGAAGAACACCCGUGGCGAAGGCGGCUCUCUGGGACGGUACUGACGCUGAGACGCGAAAGCGUGGGGAGCGAACAGG
rnacentral:rRNA from 1 species